GACGAACGCUGGCGGCGUGCUUAACACAUGCAAGUCGAACGGUGAAGCGCCUUCCUUUUUGGUGGGUGUGGAUGAGUGGCGAACGGGUGAGUAACACGUGAGUAACCUGCCCCCUUCUUCUGGAUAACCGCAUGAAAGUGUGGCUAAUACGGGAUAUUCUGGGUCUGUCGCAUGAUGGGUCUGGGAAAGAUAUUGUUUCGGUGGGGGAUGGGCUCGCGGCCUAUCAGCUUGUUGGUGGGGUGAUGGCCUACCAAGGCGGUGACGGGUAGCCGGCCUGAGAGGGUGGACGGUCACACUGGGACUGAGACACGGCCCAGACUCGUACGGGGGGCAGCAGUGGGGAAUAGUGCACAAUGGGCGCAAGCCUGAUGCAGCGACGCCGCGUGAGGGAUGGAGGCCUUCGGGUUGUGAACCUCUUUCGCCAGUGAAGCAGGCCUGCCUCGUUUGUGGGUGGGUUGACGGUAGCUGGAUAAGAAGCGCCGGCUAACUACGUG
rnacentral:rRNA from 1 species